AUUGAUCAGGCUGUAUGUUUAACCCACACAGGCUGCUGGUCCUACACCUGUUUAAUGAAGAAGUCAGAAAUGGAUCAGAAUCAAUAUGCAGGAUGUUUCCAGGUUUUUACCUGAAUGUGGGUGUAUCUACAAUGGUUACCAUGGCAACAGUGGUUCCCUAGUUCUGUAGCUGUACACCCUCACCUGUUCAGCUGGAGGGACCGGUUUGUGCCCACACUGUUUCACUGUGGAGAGGAGUCGAUACUCCUCUGACAUGCACGACCCCACACAUUCCGUCAUCUGCCCAUGACACGUCCAGGCGACUGGUCCAGAAAAUUUGUCGGGCAACCAGUCCAGGUGACUUGCCAAGACAACCUGUCCAGCUGACCCGUC